rnacentral:rRNA from 1 species
AAACCAACAGGGAUUGCCUCAGUAGCGGCGAGUGAAGCGGCAAGAGCUCAGAUUUGAAAUCUCACCUAGUGUGCGAGUUGUAAAUUGCAGGUUGGAGUCUCGGGUUAGACGUGUGUGCAAGUCCCUUGGAACAGGGUGCCACUGAGGGUGAGAGCCCCGUAGCGUGCAUGUCGACACCUGUGAGGCCCUUCUGACGAGUCGAGUUGUUUGGGAAUGCAGCUCUAAGUGGGUGGUAAAUUCCAUCUAAGGCUAAAUAUUGGCGAGAGACCGAUAGCGAACAAGUACUGUGAAGGAAAGAUGAAAAGCACUUUGAAAAGAGAGUGAAACAGCACGUGAAAUUGUUGAAAGGGAAGGGUAUUGGGCUCGACAUGGGAUUUACGCAUCGUUGCCUCUCGUGGGCGGCGCUCUGGGUUUUUCCUGGGCCAGCAUCGGUUUUCGUUGCAGGAUAAGGACAAUUGGAAUGUGGCUCCUCGGAGUGUUAUAGCCUUUUGUAGAUGCUGCGUAUGGGGACCGAGGGCUGCGGCGGACUCGUU